rnacentral:lncRNA from 1 species
CGGCAAUAGACAUAGGUACAAGGGGCAGUCUGCGGAGUGAGUAGUAGUAGAGCAACAGAAGCCUGGUGAAACACGGGCAAAACAGAAGCGCAUAACGUUACAAAUUCAAGGUGGAUGUUAUUUUCCUUUCUUUUGUGAAAACAAAACAUUGAAACGUGGAUAUUGUUAAUUGAAGGAGGUGCGUGGUGUUGGCAAGCAAGUGGACCUCCACCCAACUGCACCUCCAGAACUGUAGAGGCAGUCACUGCACCUGCAGGAUUUGUCUGAUAGAUUUGGCUGAGCCUAGCUGAGUGCUGCAGUGUGUC